rnacentral:rRNA from 1 species
CGCGUAGGCUGUGCUGCAAGUCAGGCGUGAAAGGCCCGGGCUCAACCUGGGAACUGCGCAUGAUACUGCGGCGCUUGAAGGCGGGAGAGGAUGGCGGAAUUCCCAGUGUAGAGGUGAAGUUCGUAGAUAUUGGGAAGAACACCGGUGGCGAAGGCGGCCAUCUGGCCCGCAAUUGACGCUGAGGCGCGAAAGCGUGGGGAGCAAACAGGAUUAGAUACCCUGGUAGUCCACGCCGUAAACGAUGAGUGCUAGACGUCGGGGAGCUUGCUCUUCGGUGUCGCCGCUAACGCAUUAAGCACUCCGCCUGGGGAGUACGGUCGCAAGAUUAAA